CAGUUCUUAGAUGACAGUUGAUAAAACCUUAGGAUGUAUUUUCUGUUUCAGGUGAAAGCUUACUGUAAAUGGGAGGGAUUUACCUGCAGCUUAAAAGAGACCCACAGAAAGUAUGAGAGAUCUGCAAAGCACCGUACCUUUUAAGUCUGAAUUGAAAGAGAGAUGAUCACUGAGAGACUUCACAGGUCAUUGUUGUGUCAGACUCCAGAUAUAAUGUAUAGCAUUACACCUGUGGAGAUAAGGGAAGAAGACAAGGGAAGUAAAGGGCUCGCAGAACCCAAGCCAAGAGGUUUACAACCCUGGUAGAGCAGAUGGAGACUUGGUGUCUAAGCAAACUGCAGCAAAUCUGCGUGCUGAAUGGAGAAUUUUCUACUUUGCCAACAAAAAAUGUGAAACAGAGAAGCCUGCCUUCUACUUAGGAUUUCACUGCCUGAAUCAAAUACACAUGGAAGAACUCCUACCCUUUUUGGAUUGAGAUUGCAUUUAUUUUCCAAGGAGAGAAGUCACAUCCAGUUAUUUAACAAAAUUAUUUGAGCUCAGGAUGAUUUUGCAAAGGACCCCCCACAUAGGCAGAGGAACGACUGAAGCACAGGAAGGAGUUUGGGUGUAAGGAAGACACUGAGCAAACUGAUGUAGUGAGCACUUUGAGACUUUUAGGGAUCAGUGGAACUCAAAUAUCUAAAUAACAGUUUAAACCAAUUUAAAUAGCAGUUAAACCCAAAAAGCCUAAAGUCCCUUUUGAUUUUAAACUCCCCUAGGGCUGACAGCUGAACACAUGUGCUGUGGCUUAGGCAAUGGUACCCUAGUUCUAAAUGUGGACUUGCAUUUCAUGUCCACCACCCAAGGCUGGUAACUUCCCAACGUGAUUCAUUAUCUGGCUUGUUCUCGUUUUUUUCUUAAGUACUCUAUUUUUAUUUUUUCUUAACUCCCCCUAU